CCUCUUUCCUCCUGUCCUAGUUCUAUCCAUCCUCUGUUCUUUCUUGCUCUCUCUUUUGUUUUCUUCCUCUGGCACACAAGACAUAAGAGCAGCAUAGCCACAAGCAAGGCUUAGUUAGGUCUUUUUCAAGAGAGCUGGCUUACCAGAGCACCGAUGGACUUGGAUACCUGAGAUAUCUGCUUGGGAUCCCACACUUUCAAGGUCUCUCCUCUGGCCUUCUUCUGGUUCUGCGACUCCUUACAGCGCUGGGAGUUGGUGAUGCCAACAGGACAUACGCUCCCAGAGCCUACCUCUCCCAGAUCACUUUAAAAGGCACCCAGGACCCCAGAAUUCUCAUCCUCAAAGGCAUGGAGCUCAGCUCUUGGCCCUCAACAAAUCUCUUCCCCAUAAAGAUCCUUUUGAGAGCUUA
rnacentral:lncRNA from 10 species